rnacentral:rRNA from 1 species
UACGGAGGGUGCAAGCGUUAUCCGGAUUCACUGGGUUUAAAGGGUGCGUAGGUGGGCAGGUAAGUCAGUGGUGAAAUCUCCGGGCUUAACUCGGAAACUGCCAUUGAUACUAUCUGUCUUGAAUACCGUGGAGGUCAGCGGAAUAUGUCAUGUAGCGGUGAAAUGCUUAGAUAUGACAUAGAACACCAAUUGCGAAGGCAGCUGGCUACACGAAUAUUGACACUGAUGCACGAAAAGCGUGGGGAUCAAACAGGAUUAGAGUACCGU